rnacentral:rRNA from 1 species
GACGAACGCUGGCGGCGUGCUUAACACAUGCAAGUCGAACGGAAAGGCCUGCUUUCCCUUGUGGAUUGCGGGUACUCGAGUGGCGAACGGGUGAGUAACACGUGAGUGAUCUGCCCCCAACUUGGGUAUAAGCCUGGGAAACUGGGUCUAAUUCCCGAUAGGACUGCAGGGUGGUGCCUGUGGUGGAAAACGAUUUUCUAGAGGUUGGGGAUGAGCUCGCGGCCUAUCAGCUUGUUGGUGGGGUAAUGGCCUACCAAGGCGGCGACGGGUAGCCGGCCUGGGAGGGUGGACGGCCACAUUGAGACUGAGAUACGGCCCAGACUCCUACGGGAGGCAGCAGUGGGGAAUAUUGCACAAUGGGCGGAAGCCUGAUGCAGCGACGCCGCGUGGGGGAUGACGGCCUUCGGGUUGUAAACUCCUUUCGACCGCGAGGAAGCCACCUGGUUGGAAGGGUGGUGACGGUAGUGGUAGAAGAAGCACCGGCUAACUACGUG